rnacentral:rRNA from 1 species
UACGAAGGGGGGCUAGCGUUGCUCGGAAUCACUGGGCGUAAAGCGCACGUAGGCGGCUUUUUAAGUCAGGGGUGAAAUCCUGGAGCUCAGCUCCAGAACUGCCUUUGAUACUGAGAGGCUUGAGUCCGGGAGAGGUGAGUGGAACUGCGAGUGUAGAGGUGAAAUUCGUAGAUAUUCGCAAGAACACCAGUGGCGAAGGCGGCCAACUGGUCCGGUACUGACGCUGAGGUGCGAAAGCGUGGGGGAGCAAACAGG